rnacentral:lncRNA from 1 species
UGUGGAGUCAUUUGCAUAGUAUUACAAGUAACAGUGCCAGGAUUUAAACAAAAUUCCAUCUCCAGAAUACCAAGCAAAGAUGAGUUAUUUACCUCACUUCUUGCAGCUGAUAACAGUUUUCCAUUGCCUGAGUGUGGUGUCAUUGUCUAAUAGGAGUAUAAGAAAAACUUACCAAGCAAGAGUAAGUCCAUAGCAAAGGAGAUUAGUGCUGUAUAGAAUCUCUCACACUGCAUUUCACAGAGUAGAUAAUAGAUAUUCAUUGAAUGAAUUUUAGCCAAUGGGAAAAUAAAAUAUGAUAUAGAAUUUCCACCUGAUUCCAGUACGAUUCCACACUGAUUGAUGACAAUCCACAGUUAUUUUGUCCAUAUGAAAUAUGAUCAAGAUUUAUAAAAAAUUAUCCUAAAAAUCUAGAACCCUGAGGAAUCUUUCAUAUUGCCUUAAUUUAUAAAAUUAUUAAGCUGAGUGAUACAGUGUUUUAGAGAGAAAUAUUCUCAUGUCAAAAAUUAUAAAUAGGAAAGAACAUUACUACUGUUAUUUGAUUAAUUGUCAAAAUAAAGUGGAGCUUGCUAGCCUUAAAUAUAUCUUGGUUGAUUUAUACAUAUGUGGAUGAAAAGAGAAAUAAGCUAAACAAAUUCUAUCUAUUUUAGAAUAUUUCAGAAGUUUAUUUUGCCUUGUAUUUUAGAUAUAUGAAGAUUUUUUCAAAAGAUUUAUUUUAUUUUUGAGGAAGAAGCAUGAAGAACAGUGGCAGAAGGAGAAGGAAUCUCAAGCAGACUCCUCACUGAACUUGGAACCCAAUGGAGGCUUGCUCCCACACCCCCAUUUCAGGACCCUAGCUGAAACCAAAUCCAUUGCCCAACUGACUGGGCCACCAAGGCUCAUCAGAAUACUUCAAGUCCCAGAGAUAUGCUUUUUGUCUCUACACUGUUACCAAUCUUGUAAGAAAUACUGCCAAGGUAAGACUUUUUUGGGUUUUUUUUGUCAAAGUUUUUAAGGAUUACAUUUUAAGGAUGUUAAUCCAACCGAACAGAUUUACAUACAAUGCAGCAUUAUGUGAGGAAUAUGUCGAAUAUACAUUGAAAAUCAAAAGAAAAAUUAAAAAGACACCAUCAAAUAUUAAUCAAACAUAAAGCUCUGGCAAUCAUUCUCAAAUUUUCAUCAAAACUCACAUUUAAUUAUUUGUUCAUUCAUUCUAUCAUCAGUUAUAUAUCUAGUACCUACCAGAAUUUAGUGUCUCUGAGAUACAUCCUAGCACCCAACUCCUAGGAUAUGAUGAUGUUGCUUUUAAACCAGAUAAUCAAGGUUCUUCUUUCCCUGAGCUUAAAGAGCAAGAACCACACUGACUUCUCAGUGCAGACUUGAUGGAGGGCAGAGUUAUGAUUAACUAACCAGAAUAUAAAUAAAAACUUGAGGGUGCCUGAGUGGCUCAGUUGGUCAAGCG